AUCGCUUCUCAUCCUUUUGGCUAAGAUCAAGUGAAGUAUCUGAUCUUAUCAGUUUAAUAUCUGAUAUGUCCUCUAUCCAAGGACAGCAUAUUAAAGUAUUUUUGCAAGCAGGGGUUGGACUAAGAGCUUGCUCUGUCCAUUCCAUGCAUCAAUCUAGUAUUGUAGUAUUUCCAGGAAUGGUGCACCCCCU